CCCGGUAUUAAAGCAUUGGAGUUCCUACGUACGUGCACAUCAGUUUAUCUCUAUCCAUAUUUUCCUUUGCUUUUUAGUGCCUCCCAUUCUUUUCAAAAAAAAAAAUAUUGUUAUCUUUUUUUGGCUUUAGUUCUUGGAUGGCAUUUAAGUUCGGUGAUGCAAAAAAUCCGAACUUUGUUUAAUAAAAUUGAUGCCAGAUGAAUAUUCGACUUAGGGCUUCUAAGGGUUCUUUUGGAUUUCUGUGAGAGGGCUGGUGAGAACGCAUCGGGUCUAGAGUUACUUUGUUGGAUCGUAACUAUAAUGGAGAAGCGUUAGACUGAUCAUGCUUUCGAGCAGACUCUUGGGGCAAAGUUCAGGUGGAGAAUCUUGAUGGGAAAGUUAGGUCUUGGAUUAUGAGAAAUAGAGGAACUUAAUCCUUGGAAAUUGGAGAAUGUUUCCAUUUGAUAAAGAAUGAAUACCGAGAGA
rnacentral:lncRNA from 1 species